CCUUGAUAGGUUGUCGCUGGCUCUUAUGCAUGUGCACGCCUGUCUUGACUUCUAUUCAUCCACCUGUGCACCUUUUGUAGUCUUUUUGGGGGCUGGGAAAGAUAAUAGCUUUUGAGGCCUGCAAAGGUUUUCUUUUUGGCUGUUAUUGGAACCUCCCACUGGGGACUAUGUUUUUACAUAUACCAUAUAGAAUGUAACAGAAUGUUGUCAAUGGGCACUUGUGGCCUAUAUAAAAUCUAUACAACUUUCAGCAACGGAUCUCUUGGCUCUCGCAUCGAUGAAGAACGCAGCGAAAUGCGAUAAGUAAUGUGAAUUGCAGAAUUCAGUGAAUCAUCGAAUCUUUGAACGCACCUUGCGCUCCUUGGACAUUCCGAGGAGCAUGCCUGUUUGAGUGUCAUUAAAUUCUCAACUCCACCAGCUUUUGUGGCUGGCUCUUGGAGCUUGGAUGUGGAGGUUUUGCUGGCCUUUUUUUCUGGUCAGCUCCUCUGAAAUACAUUAGCGGAACCGUUUGCGAUCCGUCACAGGUGUGAUAAUUAUCUACAUCUAGUGGGUUGCUUUCUGUCUGUUCAGCUCAUAACUGUCCUGUUAAUGGACAAACUUUUUAAUGAACGUUUGACCU
rnacentral:rRNA from 1 species